rnacentral:tmRNA from 1 species
GGGGACGUUUCUGGAUUCGACAGGGGUCCCCCGAGCUCAUUAAGCGUGUCGGAGGGUUGUCUUCGUCAUCAACACACACAGUUUAUAAUAACUGGCAAAUCAAACAAUAAUUUCGCAGUAGCUGCCUAAUCGCACUCUGCAUCGCCUAACAGCAUUUCCUAUGUGCUGUUAACGCGAUUCAACCUUAAUAGGAUAUGCUAAACACUGCCGUUUGAAGUCUGUUUAGAAGAAACUUAAUCAAGCUAGCAUCAUGUUGGUUGUUUAUCAC